UGAGGAAUAUUGGUCAAUGGGCGAGAGCCUGAACCAGCCAAGUCGCGUGAGGGAAGACGGUCCUAUGGAUUGUAAACCUCUUUUGCCGGGGAGCAAAGAGCGGCACGUGUGCCGCGCCGAGAGUACCCGGAGAAAAAGCAUCGGCUAACUCCGUGCCAGCAGCCGCGGUAAUACGGAGGAUGCGAGCGUUAUCCGGAUUUAUUGGGUUUAAAGGGUGCGCAGGCGGCGCGUUAAGUCAGCGGUAAAAUUUCGGGGCUCAACCCGCACGAGCCGUUGAAACUGGCGUGCUAGAGUGGGCGAGAAGUAUGCGGAAUGCGUGGUGUAGCGGUGAAAUGCAUAGAUAUCACGCAGAACUCCGAUUGCGAAGGCAGCAUACCGGCGCCCAACUGACGCUCAUGCACGAAAGCGUGGGUAUCGAACAGGAUUAGAUACC
rnacentral:rRNA from 1 species